UACGUAGGGUGCAAGCGUUAAUCGGAAUUACUGGGCGUAAAGCGUGCGCAGGCGGUUUUGUAAGUCAGAUGUGAAAUCCCCGGGCUUAACCUGGGAACUGCGUUUGAAACUACAAGGCUAGAGUGUGGCAGAGGGGGGUGGAAUUCCGCGUGUAGCAGUGAAAUGCGUAGAUAUGCGGAGGAACACCGAUGGCGAAGGCAAUCCCCUGGACCUGUACUGACGCUCAUGCACGAAAGCGUGGGGAGCAAACAGG
rnacentral:rRNA from 1 species